rnacentral:rRNA from 1 species
AGGGCCUCAAAUCAGACAAGAGUACCCGCUGAACUUAAGCAUAUCAAUAAGCGGAGGAAAAGAAACUAACAAGGAUUCCCCUAGUAACGGCGAGUGAAGAGGGAAGAGCUCAAAUUUUAAAUCCGCCUUGUUCGCAAGGCCGAGUUGUAAUUUGAAGAAGCGUUUUCUUGGGCUCGCUGCCGGUAGAAGUUCUUUGGAUCAGGACAUCAUAGAGGGUGACAAUCCCGUCUGUGACCGGUCGCGCGGUUCAUCUACGAUACGCUUUCAAAGAGUCGAGUUGUUUGGGAUUGCAGCUCCAAACGGGUGGUAAACAUCACCUAAGGCUAAAUAUUGGCGAGAGACCGAUAGCGAACAAGUACCGUGAGGGAAAGAUGAAAAGAACUUUGAAAAGAGAGUUAAACAGUACGUGAAAUUGUUGAAAGGGAAACGAUUGAAG